AAGCAUAUAAUUAAGCGGAGGAAAAGAAACUAACCAGGAUUCCCCCAGUAAGGGCGACUGAAGCGGGAUGAGCUCAGGAUGUGAAUCUGCAUACUAUUACAUAAGAAGUGUAUGCCGAAUUGUGGUCUGUAGACUUUGACGUUAACAUGCCGGGCCAAGUCCCUUGGAACAGGGCAGCAGAGAGGGUGAGACUCCCGUUCGCCUGGUGGUGUGAGUCAUGUGUCGACGAGUCGAGUUGUUUGGGAUUGCAGCUCUAAUUGGGUGGUAAAUUCCAUCUAAAGCUGAAUAUUGGUGGGAGACCGAUAGCGUACAAGUACCGUGAGGGAAAGAUGCAAAGAACUUUGAAAAGAGAGUUAAAGAGUACCUGAAAUUGCUGAAACGGAAGCGAAGGAAACCAGUGUCUGGUUGUGUCAUACUUCCCUUGCCGCUUGCGGUCUGGGCGCUGUGGCAUUUCCAUCUGUCUGCCUUGGUUGUGCCUCUCUGGAAGAGCGCCUACGGAGUUGACGUGGGUUGCUAGCAUUGGACUUGACUGAGUGCA
rnacentral:rRNA from 1 species